CCGAGUUUACAACUCCCAAACCCCUGUGAACAUACCUAUACGUUGCCUCGGCGGAUCAGCCCGCGCCCCGUAAAAAGGGACUGCCCGCCCGAGGACCCCUAAACUCUGUUUUUAGUGGAACUUCUGAGUAAAACAAACAAAUAAAUCA
rnacentral:misc_RNA from 1 species